rnacentral:lncRNA from 1 species
GAUUGCAGAGAACAACCUUGACCUGCAGAAGGAGGAGGACCAUGAGAAGGAGGUGGAGGUUCUGAGGAAGGAGAUCCGGAGGCUGAAAGGAGGAGAUAGUGGCUACAGAGAACAGACAGAGGAGGAGGCGCAGGUUAACACUGAUUUACAGGAAACCAGGUCAUACAGCUCACCAGGCACGUCAAGGUGAUACCCGAGUUACGUAAAGAUCUUCACAACCUGCAGACCCAGAAAGAUGAUCUGGGCAGGAAGAUGAAGAAUCAGUCAGAACAGGCCAGAGGUAGCUUUCUAUAUUCUAUUAUUAAACUGGGUGGUUCCAGCCCCGAAUGCUGAUUGGCUGACAGCCAUGGUAUAUCAGACUGUAUACCACGGGUAUGACUAAACAUUUAUUUUUACUGCUCUAAUUAAGUUGGUAACCAGUUUAUAAUAGCAAUAAGGCACCUCGAGGGUUUGUGAUAUAUGGCUAAUAUAGGGCUGUAUCCAGGCACUCCACAUUGCGUCAUGCUUAAGAACAGCCCUUAGCCGUGGUAUAUUGGCCAUAUACCACACCUCCUCAGACCUUAUUGCUUAAAAAAAUACUCUCUGUAAUGUAUUGUGUUAUGGGUAUUUUUCUAUUCAUGCCAACAGUGUCUUUAUAUGGAUUGAUGAAUGCUUUACAAAUCCAGAUGAUUUUGUUGUCACUUCUCAUACAUGAUUGUUUGUGGCUCUCUCCGUACAGCCAAGAUGAGUGUGAUCACAAGACAACUUCUUUGUGGCAUGGUUGAAGAGGAGGUCAUUUCCAGGUAGUCUAAUGGCAUUAUGCAUUUCCUAAAAUUUGUGAGAAGAAAAGUUCACUUUAGCCUUAAGCAUUACACAUGUUUCCGUUGAAAGGUUGACCUCCGACAGUCCAGACCAGAUCUAUGAAGUUGGGAAUUUGUCGACUGCAUUUGAUGGACUGCAGAAAGCUUGCAGAAGAAAUUGAGGAGAUUUCAAAAGAGCUUCAGAUGAAUGUUGAAGAGGGAGGCUCCCAAAGCAGGUAUCCUCAAGCCCUGAAAUCAUAUAACAAUAUGUCAUUUGGCAGAUGCUUUUUAUCCAAAGUGACUUACAUUAAAGUGAAUACAUACAUCUUCAGUAUGUUUGUGAUCCCUGUAAGAAUUAAAUCCACAAUCGUGACAUUGCUAGCACCAGGCUGUUAUCAGCUUAGCCACAAACGACCACAAUCAAAGCUGUCAUUGAUAAUCUAACCGGAUACUUGACAUCUAACCUCUGUGUUUGGGUUCAGGCUGUUGGAGGAGCAUGCUGAGGAGGUGGAGAGGGAGAAUAAGGAAGUGGAGAGAGAGAAGCAGGAAGUGGAGAGGGAGAAGGAGGAAGUGGAGAGGGAGAAGCAGGAAGUGGAGCGGGAGGAGGUGAAGAGGGAGCAGGAGGAGGUGGAGAGAGAGAAGGAGGAGGUGGAGAGGGAGAAGGAGGUGGUGAAGAUGGAGAAGGAGGUGGUGAAGACAGAGAAGGAGGAGGUGGAGAG